UCCGUAGGUGGAUAAUUAAGUCAGAGGUGAAAUCCUGCAGCUCAACUGUAGAAUUGCCUUUGAUACUGGUUAUCUUGAAUUAUUGUGAAGUGGUUAGAAUAUGUAGUGUAGCGGUGAAAUGCAUAGAUAUUACAUAGAAUACCAAUUGCGAAGGCAGAUCACUAACAAUAUAUUGACACUGAUGGACGAAAGCGUGGGGAGCGAACAGGAUUAGAUACCCUGGUAGUC
rnacentral:rRNA from 1 species